rnacentral:rRNA from 1 species
CCUACGGGUGGCAGCAGUGGGGAAUUUUGGACAAUGGGCGCAAGCCUGAUCCAGCUAUUCCGCGUGUGGGAAGACGGCCUUCGGGUUGUAAACCACUGGUGUAGAGAACGAAAAGUCUAUUGAUAAUACCGAUAGAUGAUGACGGUACUCUAAGAAUAAGCACCGGCUAACUACGUGCCAGCAGCCGCGGGAAUACGUAGGGUGCGAGCGUUAAUCGGAAUUACUGGGCGUAAGGGGUGUGCAGGCGGUUUUGCAAGAUGGAUGUGAAAGCCCCGGGCUUAACCUGGGAAAGCCAUACAUGACUGCAAGACUAGAGUGCGUCAGAGGGGGGUGGAAUUCCAAGUGUAGCAGUGAAAUGCGUAGAUAUUUGGAAGAACACCGAUGGCGAAGGCAGCCCCCUGGGACGCAACUGACGCUCAUACACGAAAGCGUGGGGAGCAAACAGGAUUAGAUACCCUUGUAGUC